UGCUGUGAGGUUUCUAGGCUUCACAGACGACAGUCUGGUUACUUGGCUUCACAGACAACAGUCUGGUGCUGUGAGGUUUCUAGGCUUCACAGACGACAGUCUGGUUACUAGGCUUCACAGACAACAGUCUGGUGCUGUGAGGUUUCUAGGCUUCACAGACGACAGUCUGGUUACUAGGCUUCACAGACAACAGUCUGGUGCUGUGAGGUUUCUAGGCUUCACAGACAACAGUCUGGUUACUAGGCUUCACAGACAACAGUCUGGUGCUGUGAGGUUACUAGGCUUCACAGACAACAGUCUGGUGCUGUGAGGUUUCUAGGCUUCACAGACAACAGUCUGGUGCUGUGAGGUUUCUAGGCUUCACAGACAACAGUCUGGUUACUAGGCUUCACAGACAACAGUCUGGUGCUGUGAGGUUUCUAGGCUUCACAGACAACAGUCUGGUUACUAGGCUUCACAGACAACAGUCUGGUGCUGUGAGGUUUCUAGGCUUCACAGACAACAGUCUGGUUACUAGGCUUCACAGACAACAGUCUGGUGCUGUGAGGUUUCUAGGCUUCACAGACAACAGUCUGGUUACUAGGCUUCACAGACAACAGUCUGGUUACUAGGCUUCACAGACAACAGUCUGGUUACUAGGCUUCACAGACAACAUUAUGACACUCCUUCCUGUCUGAAAGCGUCCCCAUGUUCAGAAUUAUAUUUGUAUUAUUCUCA